rnacentral:rRNA from 1 species
AGUGAACGCUGGCGGUAGGCCUAACACAUGCAAGUCGAACGGCAGCACAGGAGAGCUUGCUCUCUGGGUGGCGAGUGGCGGACGGGUGAGGAAUACAUCGGAAUCUACUCUGUCGUGGGGGAUAACGUAGGGAAACUUACGCUAAUACCGCAUACGACCUACGGGUGAAAGCAGGGGACCUUCGGGCCUUGCGCGAAUGAAUGAGCCGAUGUCGGAUUAGCUAGUUGGCGGGGUAAAGGCCCACCAAGGCGACGAUCCGUAGCUGGUCUGAGAGGAGGAUCAGCCACACUUGAACUGAGACACGGUCCAGACUCCUACGGGAGGCAGCAGUGGGGAAUAUUGGACAAUGGGCGCAAGCCUGAUCCAGCCAUACCGCGUGGGUGAAGAAGGCCUUCGGGUUGUAAAGCCCUUUUGUUGGGAAAGAAAUCCAGCUGGCUAAUACCCGGUUGGGAUGACGGUACCCAAAGAAUAAGCACCGGCUAACUUCGUGCCAGCCGCCGCCGUAA